UGGUUUCGUCUCACUUUUUUUAGUUUCGUCUCUCCGCUACACUGAUGUUUAGAAACCGUCUCCUGCUCGACACUCUCUCCCAACCCUAUUAGGUCUCUCUCUCCCAACAGAGAUUGACAAGCGUCGAGUCUCCCCACCCACCCCCGCCUGGCUCUCUUCCCUUUAAACCAUCAGAAGCUUUGCCUCUCAAUUGAUAGGCAAUGGCGAAAGACAAUGGGUUGCUCGCUGUAAUGACAAUGGCGAAAGACAAGUAGCAAAAAUCAUCCAUCACAUCUUUUACUUCCAGAGGCGACUUCCUUGCUAUUCUUUACCCCGAGUGCUACGUCAAAGCUAGAGAUUGACAAUCUGCUACCAUAAUGGAGAGCUGUUGGCACUUGGCAUAGGAGCUUGGUAUUAAUUGAACUGCAAGUCCCUGUAGUUCUCUUCUUUUCUGCCACUGAUCACUUAUCCAACAUAACUUGUCACUCAUCUUACACUUGGCAUUGCUUUGCGUGCGGUAUUGGAUGCACUACGCCAUCCAUCUCUUAAGAACUUCAUCUCCCCUGAAGGUCAUUUUUUGGUUGCCUACUUGCUAGGUGUUCUUCCAAAAAGAUAUAGAGUACCUACCAUGGAUGAUCUAAAUCAGGACGAACUUGCUGGAGGAAGGGUAGACUUUCUUGACCUUCUUGAAGAAUGUGUCCAGUAUUAAGUGUUAUAGUCGGAGGCUUAGUAGCAGAACAUUCGGUGUGUUUAGUUGCUCAGCAGGACUUCUCUGAUGUGGAGAAGGUGGGCAACAUGUCCUGUGUGCUAAUCCUUGGAGAUUCAUCAGAAUCGUAUAUUACUGGGUUUUUUUUCCCUUUUUUAAAAUUAUUUUUAAUUCAUUUUCAUGUAAGACUUAUAAUACAAUUGAUUUAGACAAUUAAUAUUGUUAUUAUUGGUAAGAGUCGUUUUUUAGUAGAGUUAUCAAGUUUAAUA